CCUACGGGUGGCAGCAGUGAGGAAUAUUGGUCAAUGGCCGGAAGUCUGAACCAGCCAAGCCGCGUGAAGGACGAAGGUGCCACGCAUUGUAAACUUCUUUUGUCAAGGGACAAAAUCAGGCUCGAGAGCCUGACCGAGUGUACUUGAAGAAAAAGCAUCGGCUAACUCCGUGCCAGCAGCCGCGGUAAUACGGAGGAUGCGAGCGUUAUCCGGAUUUAUUGGGUUUAAAGGGUGCGUAGGCGGAUAGUUAAGUCAGUGGUCAAAUUGAGGGGCUCAACCGCUUCCCGCCAUUGAAACUGGCGCUCUUGGGUGGAAGAGGAGUAGGCGGAAUGCGUGGUGUAGCGGUGGAAUGCAUAGAUAUCACGCAAGACCCCGAUUGGGAAGGCAGCAUGCCGGGUUCCGACUGGCGCUGAAGCACGGAAGCGUGGGGAUCGAACAGGAUUAGAUACCCUAGUAGUC
rnacentral:rRNA from 1 species